rnacentral:rRNA from 1 species
CAGUCGCCGCGGUAAUACGUAGGGCGCAAGCGUUAUCCGGAAUUAUUGGGCGUAAAGAGCUCGUAGGCGGUUUGUCGCGUCUGCCGUGAAAGUCCGGGGCUCAACCCCGGAUCUGCGGUGGGUACGGGCAGACUAGAGUGAUGUAGGGGAGACUGGAAUUCCUGGUGUAGCGGUGAAAUGCGCAGAUAUCAGGAGGAACACCGAUGGCGAAGGCAGGUCUCUGGGCAUUAACUGACGCUGAGGAGCGAUAGCAUGGGGAGCGAACAGGAUUAGAUACCCCUGUAGUCCAUGUCUCUUAUAA